AUAACAGAGGAAAAGUGACACACCAACAUCAAAGAUCUACAGACAGUUCAAAAUUCGUACAAGAAAAUGAAAACACUUCUAGUUUUGACGACACUUGUGAUAGUAGGACACUGCCUACUGGAAGAUAUUUUGGGGAACAUACCGGAAAAUAAAAGAUCGCUCCUCAUGAGAAGAAGUCAUGAAAAUACACUCAACUAUUUGUAUGUGAUAGCUGAUGAUAAUAGGAAUGGCCUUUUAUCUGCUUCAGAGUUGGCUCUAUAUACAAAACCGAAAGACGGUUCGACACCAAUAGAGAAGGCGAGAGAGACUGUUCGACUAUGUGAUACCAAUAAUGAUCGCGAGUUGAGCAAAACAGAAAUGCUGACAUACUUGAAAAGUUUGGAAAAUUGAGGAACGAACGACGUAUUGUAAAAACUAUAUGAUUUUUAUUUCAUAUUAAAGAUGAUCACACAAUA